ACUCCGCGGUACAGUCUCGUCUGCGUAUAGUCGUGGGAAGGAAAGAGGGGCUCCAGCGUCUCCCUGAGAGGCUGAGGGAGCGAGGAACCGCCGAGCCCUCCUUCCCCUGCUCGGCGGGCCCUGGCUGCAGCUAGCAGCUCUCCACCAUGCCCGGGGGCGUACCCUGGUCCGCCUACUUGAAAAUGCUUUCCUCCAGCCUNNNNNNUCGGCCUGACCUGACAAUACCUGAAAUCCCACCAAAGCCUGGAGAACUCUAAAUGGAGCUUUUGGGACUGAAAGAGAGACGCCACGAACCUCAUGUUUCACAGCAGUAGAAACUUAAAAAUAACAGCUGUGCCAAGAAUUCUGUGAAUAAUGUCUUAAAUAUGUAUUUUAAACUUUAUUAAGUAAAACUACUUCUUAAAACACUUAAUUUAGGGGGCUCAAUGGCUCAGAGGUUAAGAGCACUGUCUGCUCUUACAGAGGUUCUGAGUUCAAUUCCCAGCAACCACUUGGUGGUUCAUAACCAUCUAUGAGUUGUUCUGUUCUGGCCUGCAAGCAGAAUGCUGUAUACAUAAUAAAUCUUAAUAUUUUUUUAAAGAUAGUCUUACUAUACAUUCUUGGCUCACCUAGAACUUGCUAUGUAGAUCAGGCUGGCCUCUAGUUCACAGGAUCUAUAGGUCUCUACAAAAAGGUCUUGCUGUGUGUGUAGCCCAUGCUGACAUCAAACUAAGAGUCCUUCUGCUUCCACUUCCCAAACAGUGAGAUUACAGGUGUAAAGGACCAUGCCUGGUCCAGUGUCUCUUAAGAACCGCCUAAGAGCAUCUCUAGCGUUUGACUAGAAGAUAUCCUGACCGAAGUGUUGCCGUUUCAAACAAAACUACAGCAAGAUCCAUGACUGUCUUGUCAUCUUCAUCUUCCUGAUAGAAGGCUCUGUGAGAUAAAUGACUUCAUAGCCCUUCUUCAGAAGUCUCUCAACAAAUGGAGAAGAUUCCGCCUACAAGAUUAAAGGAAGUAUGUGUUUUCAAGUUCUGCCUUGGCACAUUAGCUGUGUGAGACAAAGACUAAAGGUAGUGUCCUCUGGUGUCUGCCUAACUAUCCCAGCUACACAAUUAACUUAUUUCCUCUCCCACAUUGGCUGUAUGCCUCCAGCUCCCAGGGACCCUAGCAGCUGCACUUCAUCUUACCUCCUUUCUGCUUGACCCAGCCAUGAAGUAGAUUUUGUCCUGUUUUUCCUUCAUUCUUUCCACAUACUGGUCUAAACUAGUAAUGUCAGUUGAAUGGUGAGAAGACUGGAACCUAAGAAGUUUAGCAAGCCGUGUUCGAUUUGAGUGGUCUUCAAUCACACCAAGCUUGAUAUUCGUGCCGAACUCCUUCCAGAAAGUGUCGUUAUACUUCUCAUCAGCAAUCUUCUUGAUCAUGUCCAGAGUUUUUCGGACAAGCUUCUUCCUAAUCACCUAAAGAAAAUGGAAUCUGGUUAGGAAGGUUUAUCUCAAACCUUUGCUUCUGAGACCAGGAUAGCAGCAACUGAGACAGCACAACUGCCACACCACUCAGCAAGGGACAGGAAGCACCAGGGCACUCCCACAUCAGACUGUGUUAGAAUUAACGACAACUGUUUCUAAUAUAUUCCAAUGCUAGAAC
ensembl:lincRNA